rnacentral:lncRNA from 1 species
CAAGCGAGCAAGUAAGUGGGCUCAGAUUGAAGAAGCGCUCUGUAGUAAUGUGGUCGGGGUGUGGAGGCUCCCCCCUUCACAAGGAUGAACAGGACUCCAGCAGUAGGUUGUAUUCGAGCAUUUUUUUUUAUUUUUGAGUUCUCCAGACAAAAAUAGAAAAGAAAAACGGGGACUAUUAAGCCAAAGCUUCUUCAAGCAAUUCCAAAUGGCCUCCUCUGACAAUUCAGCGGCCAGCUAGUGUCGUCGACCGCAAGGCCACCUAGACACGACCAUUCUUACGAAAAAAGAAAAAAAACAAAAAAAAACAUGAACUCCCCAAUCCCAGAGUCCCCCCCCUAUUUAAAUAACUAGCCCCGCCCCUUGGCUAUACCACUACUGGGCUAGUGGGGAUUACAAUUUAACAUAACACAAACAAACAUGUAACACAAUACAAUAAACAGCCAUCCUACAACUACACACCUAAUACACCAUACACAUUCCACAACUUCCCCCAUAACCUUACAUACUCCUCCCUCCCCUUACAGGUACUCGGACUAUGCCUCCCCCCCUUCUACAUACAGCCGUGGGCUUGCCGGCCAGUACAAGGGUAGCCCUGGAAGGCCGCCGCACUUCCCUAAGGAACAGGAUAGAAGAAAGGAUUCAGCAACUGCCUUAACUCAUCUCAUCUCAUUGUCAACCGCUUAAUCCGUGAAGGGUCGCGGGGGGGGUGCUGGAGCCUAUCCCAGCAGGCAUCGGGCGGAAGGCAGGAUACACCCUGGACAGGCCGCCAAUCCAUCGCAGGACUGCCUUAACUCAUUUUUUGGAAAACAUUUGUUUUGCAGUUAUGCAACGUAAUAAGGCAGAUGGGGCUUUAAGUAUGCCAUGAGCCACAUAUUCAUGCAGUGCCAAUGAGUUAAACAACAUGUUUUUGUUCCAUCUGUACCAUGUAAAGUCUUAAUUCACCAACUGGAGAUCCAAAAACGAUAAAUUGAAAGGGUUGGCAGAACAUUUCUUUGCUUCCUUACUAAAAGAACCAAUGAUUUUUUCUGUGUUUUG